rnacentral:lncRNA from 1 species
AUGCACAGGUGGGUGGAGGCACACCCGGAGGGACGCACGGACGGACACGCGGACGCACGGGCAGACGCGGACGGGCACGAGGACAGGCGCACAGACGGACGGGGAGAGAAGGAAGAAGGAGGCAGAAAUCAGAGCUGGAGCGGCCGAGACGCGUCCCCAUCCCCGAGCCCCACGGAGGAAGAGGAAGAGGAGGAAGAGGAGGAGGAAGGCCAGCUCCUACCUGGGAUCUUGAGGUUGAGGUCGCAGGUGCUGCCGAUGGUGGCGAUGGAGGGGGCCUGCCGCCGGCGCGUGAUGCUCUCCUUCACCCGCCCCUCGCCCGUCACCUUCACCGAGAAGGGGCUUCCUGCGGGUGAUGGCCACCUCAGGGACCUGGUCACCAAGGGGGGACCCAGGGGUCCGGGCGCCCCAGUGCCACCCCGCGUGCCCCCGUCCCCCCCAGUCCCCACCUGGGACGUGUUUGUCGGCAAACUUGAUGUUGAUGAUGUAGUUGCCGGGUUCGGUGGGGCAGUAGGUGACCUUGCAGGUGCCGUCCUCCACGUCCUCACAGUUGAUGUCCACCUUGCUGGGCCCCUCGAUGGAGAGACCCAGGGUGCCCACUUCGGUGCCGAUGGCUUCCACCACGAAGUCUGCCGACUUGCCCACCACGCCGCCCUCCAGUCCCGGUCCCCAAGCUCGCACCUUCUGGGACCCCGGUUCGGGUGCCACCUGCACCUCGAAGGGGCUGUGGGUACCGUGUUAGCACGGGGCGGGGGGGGCCCCUUGCACCCACCGUUGCAGGGUGGGGGGGGGGUAGGGUCCCAUGGGGGUGUGUGUGGGGGGUUCAGCUGACCUGCGGGGGAUGGCGUAGCCACCCCAGGUGAUGGCCACCUGGUACUUGCCGGGCACCAUGGGGUGGUACUCGCACUCGUAGACGCCGUCACCCGCGUCCCGCACCUUCACCGGCUCCUCUGUGCCCUCUGUGUAAAACGGGGGGGGGGGGGGUGUCAAAUGGGAGCACCCCCCGCAAUGGUGCCCUUGGCAAUCG